CUUGAGUCCACGUUGCCGAUCUAAGUAGUAGUGCCGCAGGUACUGAUUUUUAAGUGAUACCUGUACACGGCUACUUACAUUGGCAACGAGCUGGAAAAUCA